AAGGAUCAUUACAAAACCCAUGCCCGGCCAAUUUGCGGGCAGGGCGCCGCGCCCCCGCGGCCCCCAACUCUCACACCCUCUGCGUACACAUCCCUGUUGCUUCCCCGGGGAGGGGCCGCGCGCCGCCCCGGGGGAGGGCCACCAAAGAGCACACGAUGCCGACCAACCUUCCGGCCGUUCCACCUGUCUGAAGGCCGACGGGCCGAGGAAGAAGGAGAGGGAGAGGAAAUGAAUCGAAACAAAAAAAAACUUUCAACAACGGAUCUCUUGGUUCCC
rnacentral:misc_RNA from 1 species